GAUCUGGCUCAGGAUGAACGCUAGCUACAGGCUUAACACAUGCAAGUCGAGGGGCAGCAUUUCAGUUUGCUUGCAAACUGGAGAUGGCGACCGGCGCACGGGUGAGUAACACGUAUCCAACCUGCCGAUAACUCGGGGAUAGCCUUUCGAAAGAAAGAUUAAUACCCGAUGGUAUAAUCAGACCGCAUGGUCUUGUUAUUAAAGAAUUUCGGUUAUCGAUGGGGAGUGCGUUCCAUUAGGCAG
rnacentral:rRNA from 1 species